rnacentral:snoRNA from 1 species
UUCAAAUGACGAACCAUUGCACUGGGCACUGAAUAUUUUAUGAGUGACAUGCAUUUUAUGAGGACUUAGAAAACCCUCGCGACUGAUUUA